AACCGCUGAAAGCAUCUAAGCGGGAAGCCUCCUUUGAGAUGAAUUUUCCCAUAUUUUAUAUAGUAAGAUCCCUCAGAGACGAUGAGGUUGAUAGGCUGGAGAUGGAAGAAUGGCGACAUUUUGAGUUGACCAGUACUAAUAGAUCGAGGAUUUAAUCCA
rnacentral:rRNA from 1 species